rnacentral:lncRNA from 1 species
UCUGUGGUCCUGGUAUUUAGACUAUUCUGUAGCUGGUCUCUCUCUGUGGUCCUGGUAUUUAGACUAUUCUGUAGCUGGUCUCUCUCUGUGGUCCUGGUAUUUAGACUAUUCUGUAACUGGUCUCUCUCUGUGGUCCUGGUAUUUAGACUAUUCUGUAACUGGUCUCUCUCUGUGGUCCUUGUAUUUAGACUAUUCUGUAGCUGGUCUCUCUCUUUAGUCAGGGUGUUGUAACUGGUCUGUAGCUGGUCUCUCCUUUAGUCAGGGUGUUGUAACUGGUCUGUAGCUCGUCUCUCUCUUAGUCAGGUUGUGUAACUGCUCUGUAGCUGGCUCUCUCUUUAGUCAGGGUGUUGUAACUGGUCUGAGCGGUCUCUCUCUUCAGUCAGGUAUUAUAACUGCUCUGUAGCUGGUCUCUAUCUUUAGUCAGGGUGUUGUAACCUGUCGGUAGCUGGUCCUCUCUUUAGUCAGGGUAGUUGAACUGGUCUGUAGCUGGUAUCUCUCUUCAGUCAGGUUGUUGUAACUGCUCUGUAGCUGGUCUCUCUCUUUAGUCAGGGUGUUGUAACUGGUCUGUAGCUGUUGUCCCUCUUUAGUCACAUUAUWAUAACUGGUUGGUUGCUGAUCUCCUUCUUUAGUCAGAAGGCUGUAACUGGUCUGUUGGUCUCUCUCUGUUGAGURGUGAUGAUCGAUGACGCCAUCUUUAAAAUGGAAAAUUAUAUACWUAUGUUUAACUAUYACACCACUGAAGGUURCAMAUAUUUAUGUCAAAACAUUCUAAACUUACAGUAGACARACAGGCCUAUGAUCCCAGCCAAUAGRAGAACACACAGCAGCCCSAGACACACUGCAGCAAYUCCAGAGGGUYUCUUCCACCAMWGAAAAUKAGCUGAAUCACAGGGAUGUAUCAUGUAAGAYCUUUGCACUCUCUCUGGUAAYGUUAAAAUACUUAUAUCAUCCAGGAUUGUAAGGAACAAAAGCUGUGUGUUUGUACUUGAAUUGAUACCUGAAAAUGUAACACUGGGCUUGUUGGGAGAYGUGUCRUCAUCAAUAUCCAUGGUCUGCAUUGUUGGAUUCUCCACCUGUGUUUGUAUAGAUUGUCUCUUACAUUUCUAGAAGUYAAAUGCUAUAUUUUCCUCURUUACUUCAGCUCUAGUAUAGAUUUGUAUCUGUGUCUUAUGUUUUGUCAAAUACUUGAGRUCUUGACUUAGCUUAMCCAGUCUUGACUUAGCUUACCCAGUCUUGACUUAGCUUAACCGGUAUAAAGGAAACAAUAGGRUAGUCCCAAUCUCUACCCRACCAGUGACACAUACACGUUGGUCGAGCUCAAUCAAGGACACUUCAGUAAUUGACAUACAGUGCAUAUGGAAAGUAUUCAGACCCCUUGACUUUUUCCACAUUUUGUUACGUUACAGCCUUAUCAUAUAAUGCUUUUUAUAAMAAUUUAAAAAAACUCAUCAAUCUACAUAAAAUACCCCAUAAUGACAAGUAUAAACAUGUUUUAGA